GACGAACGCUGGCGGCGUGCUUAACACAUGCAAGUCGAACGGAAAGGCCCUGCUUUUGUGGGUUGCUCGAGUGGCGAACGGGUGAGUAACACGUGAGUAACCUGCCCUUGUCUUUGGGAUAACUUCAGGAAACUGGGGCUAAUACCGGAUAGGAGCUCCUGCUGCAUGUUGGGGGUUGGAAAGUUUCGGCGGUUGGGGAUGGACUCGCGGCUUAUCAGCUUGUUGGUGGGGUAGUGGCGUACCAAGGCUUUGACGGGUAGCCGGCCUGGGAGGGUGACCGGCCACAUUGGGACUGAGAUACGGACCAGACUCCUACGGGAGGCAGCAGUGGGGAAUAUGGCGCAAUGGGCGGAAGCCUGAGGCAGCAACGCCGCGUGCGGGAUGACGGCCUUCGGGUUGUAAACCGCUUUCGCAUGUGACGAAGCGUGAGUGACGGUAAUGGGUAAAGAAGCACCGGCUAACUACGUG
rnacentral:rRNA from 1 species